AGAAUCAACGCUGGCGGCGUGCCUAACACAUGCAAGUCGAACGAGAAAGUGGAGCAAUCCAUGAGUAAAGUGGCGCACGGGUGAGUAACACGUGACUAACCUACCCUUGAGUGGGGAUAACUCGGAAACGAGGCUAAUACCGCAUAACACCUACGGGUCAAAGGAGCAAUUCGCUUAAGGAGGGGGUCGCGGCAGAUUAGUUAGUUGGCGGGGUAAUGGCCCACCAAGACGGUGAUCUGUA
rnacentral:rRNA from 1 species